CCUACGGGAGGCAGCAGUAGGGAAUAUUGCUCAAUGGGGGAAACCCUGAAGCAGCAACGCCGCGUGGAGGAUGAAGGUUUUCGGAUUGUAAACUCCUUUUGUUAGAGAAGAGAAUGACGGUAGCUAACGAAUAAGCACCGGCUAACGCCGUGCCAGCAGCCGCGGUAAUACGGAGGGGGCAAGCGUUCCUCGGAAUCACUGGGCGUAAAGAGCGCGUAGGCGGGAUAGCAAGUCAGAUGGGAAAUCCUAUGGCUUAACCAUAGAACUGCAUUUGAAACGGUUAUUCUAGAGUAUGGGAGAGGUAGGUGUAAUUCUUGGUGUCGGGGUCACAUCCGU
rnacentral:rRNA from 1 species